UCAAUAUUAUUUUUAUAAUUCAGUAGGUUCACAAACAUAAUUACCGUGAUAUAGACUAACCAUUAUUACUACGUAUUAAAUAUCCUGUCACAACUUCUA